rnacentral:rRNA from 1 species
GUAGGUGGCAAGCGUUGUCCGGAAUUAUUGGGCGUAAAGCGCGCGCAGGCGGUUCUUUAAGUCUGAUGUGAAAGCCCACGGGCUCAACCGUGGAGGGUCAAUUGGAAACUGGAGAACUUGAGUACAGAAGAGGAAAGCGGAAUUCCACGUGUAGCGGUGAAAUGCGUAGAGAUGUGGAGGAACACCAGUGGCGAAGGCGGCUUUCUGGUCUGUAACUGACGCUGAGGCGCGAAAGCGUGGGGAGCAAACAGGAUUAGAUACCCUGGUAGUCCACGCCGUAAACGAUGAGUGCUAAGUGUUAGGGGGUUUCCGCCCCUUAGUGCUGCAGCUAACGCAUUAAGCACUCCGCCUGGGGAGUACGGCCGCAAGGCUG